CUAAACCAGACAAUCUUUAAGCUCUCUACCAGCUGUAACAUUCCAAGACUGAUUCUGAAGCAUUGGAAAUUAGCUGGACUUAGUGACAUACAAAGUAAUUAUGAAAAGAAUAUUUGCUUGAUUAAAAACAAAGUUGUUGGAGAACGUGGAGCUGGCUGCUACAUCCACACAACCCAUGGGCUUUCAUGAUGGUUUGGCUGUUCUGAUUGUAAAGGAAAAAUGAUGAUAGCUCACAGCUACUAAAUGCAUUACGUAGUUGGAAUUGGGCCAACUGUUUUACAUGUAUCAUUUUACUUAAUCCUCACAGUAACCUUAUGCGGUAGAUGCUCCCAUUGCAAGCUGUAACUCUGGAGAGAUCAAGUCAAUGCUCAAGAUCAUUUGCGCUGGGGGAAGCUAUUCCAGCUGUCCUGUGCAGAGACGUGCUUGGCAAGGAGCAGAAGCUGCAGGCCAACAGCUGCAUGUGGGAGGAUAUCCACUAGCUUCAGUCAAGCCUCAGAUGACUGAACUCCCAGCUGACAACUUGAUUGCAGCCUUGUGAGAGACCCUUAGCCUGACCCACUCCAGGACCUUGGAUAUGAAGAGUCAGCCUGCCUUCCCAGCACGCAAGUUAUUGGGUCCUGUGUGGUGCUCUCAGAUCCGUUGUGGUGUAAUCAGGCAGGGAUGGCCUCUGACAAUGCGGAGAGCAUGAAGAAGGCAGGAAGUGUCUCAGAAGGAGAACAGACUUAGAGCCAAGCUGUGAAUUUUG